rnacentral:rRNA from 1 species
AUUGAACGCUGGCGGCAGGCCUAACACAUGCAAGUCGAACGAGUGGCGGACGGGUGAGUAAUGUCUGGGAAAUUGCCUGAUGGAGGGGGAUAACUACUGGAAACGGUCGAUAAUACCGCAUACAAGCAGAUGUGCCCUGAUGGGAUUCGCUUGUUGGUGGGGUAACGGCUCACCAAGGCGACGAUCCAUAGCUGGUCUGAGAGUAUGACCAGCCAACCGUGAACUGAGACACGGUCCAGACUCCGACGGGAGGCAGCAGUUGGGAAUAUUGCACAAUGGGCGCAAGCCUGAUGCAGCCAUGCCGCGUGUAUGAAGAAGGCCUUCGGGUUGUAAAGUACUUUCAGCGGGGAGGCGUUACCCGCAGAAGAAGCACCGGCUAACUCCGUGCCAGCAGCCGCGGUAAUUC